GUUUGCAUGUCAAGAAGAAGAAGAGGAGAGAAGGGGGGGGGGAGUCUGCUAAACAGUCCAUUGCGCGCAGCGGCGCGCGUUUUUGCUCCGUACAGAGUCGGAGCCUGUUGUUUUAACGGCGGAGGGCGACGUGCCAGCGUCGCUCCCCGCACACCUGAGCGGAAUAUGAAACCACGCAGCCCGAACACAGCCUGAAGGAGAAUCAGACGAGCCACCGAGGACAGCGACGGAUAACGGAGAGAGAGACAUAGAGAUAUGAUGGUGACACAAUGAUGAGAGACUGGCAGACCAUCUUCAGAAUGCCAGCAGUGACUGAUGCCACACCAGACAUUCCUUUCAGAGGAAACGGCGGCGUGGUCAGCACCAUGCCAGCUUCCACAGGCCCUCAGGAAAUCAACCCCCCUCCCUUUAAGCAGAGACCACGGCAGUGAUGGCCCGAGCUUCCAACAGAUGUGUGGAACUGUGCAAAUGGGAAAACAAACAAUGUGGGAGGGAAGCUGUGUUUGGUCUCAACUUUUCAGAUUUUCUUUUUGUCUUUAUAAUUUGCUGCACUUUUGUUUUUCAUUUAACUUUGUCGUGUAUUGGCUCAACAAAUUAUAAAAACGUCUUUCCUGUUUUGAAGGAAUACUUAAAGAAAACCAACAUCUCAAGAUCUUCCUUUACUCAAUAAUUGUUGCAUCAAUCUGCUGUGUUCAUCGAAUCCCCAAAACAAUGUUGUGAUGAACUUUCUUUCUUUGGUCUACCCAAUAUUCCCGUCCUGCAUCAUCAGCCUCUAAUUCAGGGAUGGGCACAUUUGAUAAUGUUGGAUGGAUUAUGGUCGCACCAGAAUUAGGGAGCUCUGUCGGCCCAAAUGAUUUAUUCUCUCAUGUUUAAGCAAAUUAAAACACACCUUCACUUGUUGGCUUUUAACUGAAUGAAA